CUACGGCCAUACCACCCUGAACACGCCCGAUCUCGUCUGAUCUCGGAAGCUAAGCAGGGUCGGGCCUGGUUAGUACUUGGAUGGGAGACCUCCUGGGAAUACUGGGUGCUGUAGG
rnacentral:rRNA from 1 species